GCCGCCUCCUGCCCGCGCCAUGACCCAGCCGGUGCCCCGGCUCUCCGUGCCCGCCGCGCUGGCCCUGGGCUCAGCCGCACUGGGCGCCGCCUUCGCCACUGGCCUCUUCCUGGGGAGGCGGUGCCCCCCAUGGCGAGGCCGGCGAGAGCAGUGCCUGCUUCCCCCCGAGGACAGCCGCCUGUGGCAGUAUCUUCUGAGCCGCUCCAUGCGGGAGCACCCGGCGCUGCGAAGCCUGAGGCUGGUCAGCAGGGCGCGGGACGGAAACGGGCGUCCCUCUCGACCCCUGCGGGUCCCACGUGGCUGUGUGACCUUGGGCUGGGCCCUGGCCCUCCCUGGGCUUCCGGCUUCCCUGGGCCGGGUGCGGUGGGCGUUCCGAAGGGCCAGUCCCCCAGGCCACGCCCAGAACCGCGCCCCUGGGGCUUGGGACCCCCAGGGCGAAGGUGGGUGACCUGCAUGGCUGGUGCCACCCUCUCCUUUCACGCAGCUGACCCUGGAGCAGCCGCAGGGGGAUUCUAUGAUGACCUGCGAGCAGGCCCAGCUCUUGGCCAACCUGGCGCGGCUCAUCCAGGCCAAGAAGGCGCUGGACCUGGGUAGGGGCACGCGGCCGGGAUCCCGGAGGGCCGAGGUUUCCGGGCCGACCCCCACUCUGGGCUGAGCCCGUCUGUGUCCUGGUCCCAGGCACCUUCACGGGCUACUCCGCCCUGGCCCUGGCCCUGGCGCUGCCCGCGGACGGGCGCGUGGUGACCUGCGAGGUGGACGCGCAGCCCCCGGAGCUGGGACGGCCCCUGUGGAGGCAGGUGAGCGCCCGCGCCUAGCUCUGCAGCCCCAGGCGGGGGCGCAACGGCUGACCCGCUCCCUCCGCAGGCCGAGGCGGAGCACAAGAUCGACCUCCGGCUGAAGCCCGCCUUGGAGACCCUGGGUGAGCACCGAAGCGGGAAGGGCUUUGAAGCCAUUCAUUGCAAACGAGGCUGCUGUGUGGCCGAGCUGUGACUGGGCCUGCCGGGCAGGUUAAGGGCAGGGCCGGUUGUCACAGAGCCCGGGCCGGCCUGGGAGGGGCCUCAGGGCCGCCGGGGCCGCGGACUCAGCCGCACCUGCCCUCCCUCCCCCCGCAAGACGAGCUGCUGGCGGCGGGCGAGGCCGGCACCUUCGACGUGGCCGUGGUGGAUGCGGACAAGGAGAACUGCUCCGCCUACUACGAGCGCUGCCUGCAGCUGCUGCGACCCGGAGGCAUCCUCGCCGUCCUCAGAGUCCUGUGGCGCGGGAAGGUGCUGCAACCUCCGAAAGGGGACGUGGCGGCCGAGUGUGUGCGAAACCUAAACGAACGCAUCCGGCGGGACGUCAGGGUCUACAUCAGCCUCCUGCCCCUGGGCGAUGGACUCACCUUGGCCUUCAAGAUCUAGGGCUGGCCCCUAGUGAGUGGGCUCGAGGGAGGGUUGCCUGGGAACCCCAGGAAUUGACCCUGAGUUUUAAAUUCGAAAAUAAAGUGGGGCUGGG
rnacentral:lncRNA from 1 species